GACGAACGCUGGCGGCGUGCUUAACACAUGCAAGUCGAACGGUAAGGCCCUUCGGGGUACACGAGUGGCGAACGGGUGAGUAACACGUGGGUGAUCUGCCCUGCACUUCGGGAUAAGCCUGGGAAACUGGGUCUAAUACCGGAUAGGACCACUGCCUGCAUGGGUGGUGGUGGAAAGCUUUUGCGGUGUGGGAUGGGCCCGCGGCCUAUCAGCUUGUUGGUGGGGUGAUGGCCUGCCAAGGCGACGACGGGUAGCCGGCCUGGGAGGGUGACCGGCCACACUGGGACUGAGAUACGGCCCAGACUCCUACGGGAGGCAGCAGUGGGGAAUAUUGCACAAUGGGCGCAAGCCUGAUGCAGCGACGCCGCGUGAGGGAUGACGGCCUUCGGGUUGUAAACCUCUUUCAGCACCGACGAAGCGCAAGUGACGGUAGGUGCAGAAGAAGGACCGGCCAACUACGUGCCAGCAGCCGCCGCGG
rnacentral:rRNA from 1 species